rnacentral:misc_RNA from 1 species
GCAAACUUGGUCAUUUAGAGGAAGUAAAAGUCGUAACAAGGUUUCCGUAGGUGAACCUGCGGAAGGAUCAUUAACGAGCCGAACAAGGAGGGAGCCCCCCCUCGGCUGAUGCUGGCCCCUCGCGGGGCACGUGCACGCCCUGGGGGAGCGCCCUCCAUUCGCUUCGCCUUAACCCCCCCUUGUGCACCUCAUGUAGGCCGCCGACGGUGGCCCCUCCACCUCGGCCCCUACGAUUUUCGUCUUUGUACGCACCCCGAUCGCAUGUGUCGGCGUAAUUCUUGUUGCCUAUACGCAGCACGAAAUACAACUUUCAACAACGGAUCUCUUGGCUCUCGCAUCGAUGAAGAACGCAGC